UCGAGCGAGCUUGCCUAGAUGAUUUUAGUGCUUGCACUAAAUGAAACUAGAUACAAGCGAGCGGCGGACGGGUGAGUAACACGUGGGUAACCUGCCCAAGAGACUGGGAUAACACCUGGAAACAGAUGCUAAUACCGGAUAACAACACUAGACGCAUGUCUAGAGUUUGAAAGAUGGUUCUGCUAUCACUCUUGGAUGGACCUGCGGUGCAUUAGCUAGUUGGUAAGGUAACGGCUUACCAAGGCAAUGAUGCAUAGCCGAGUUGAGAGACUGAUCGGCCACAUUGGGACUGAGACACGGCCCAAACUCCUACGGGAGGCAGCAGUAGGGAAUCUUCCACAAUGGACGAAAGUCUGAUGGAGCAACGCCGCGUGAGUGAAGAAGGGUUUCGGCUCGUAAAGCUCUGUUGGUAGUGAAGAAAGAU
rnacentral:rRNA from 1 species